rnacentral:rRNA from 1 species
CAAAAACAUCGCCUCUUGAUCAAAAUAUGAGAGGUCCAGCCUGCCCAGUGACCUAGUUCAACGGCCACGGUAUCCUGACCGUGCGAAGGUAGCGUAAUCACUUGUUCUUUAAAUGGGGACUAGUAUGAAUGGCAUCACGAGGGUUAAACUGUCUCCUUUUUCUAAUCAGUGAAAUUAAUCUCCCCGUGAAGAAGCGAGGAUAACUUUAUAAGACGAGAAGACCCUAUGGAGCUUAAAACGAAUUUACACCUGCUUUUUAUUUAUUUCACUUCCCGAAUUUGCACAAACAUUAUAGCACAAUUGACAUGUAGUUUUCGAUUGGGGUGAUCCUGGGGUAAAAAAUAACCCCCAGGACGACAAAGGGCCACCCUUGAGCCAAAAGCCACAACUUUAAGCACUAAAAAAUUAACGCAACUUGACCCAAUUAUUUGAGCAACGAACCAAGUUACCCUAGGGAUAACAGCGCAAUCCACUUCAAGAGCUCAUAUCGACAAGUGGGCUUACGACCUCGAUGUUGGAUCAGGGUAUCCCAGUGGUGCAGCCGCUACUAAAGGUUCGUUUGUUCAACGAUUAAAACC